rnacentral:rRNA from 1 species
GACGAACGCUGGCGGCGUGCUUAACACAUGCAAGUCGAACGGAAAGGCCCUGCUUUUGUGGGGUGCUCGAGUGGCGAACGGGUGAGUAACACGUGAGUAACCUGCCCUUGACUUUGGGAUAACUUCAGGAAACUGGGGCUAAUACCGGAUAGGAGCUCCUGCUGCAUGGUGGGGGUUGGAAAGUUUCGGCGGUUGGGGAUGGACUCGCGGCUUAUCAGCUUGUUGGUGGGGUAGUGGCUUACCAAGGCUUUGACGGGUAGCCGGCCUGAGAGGGUGACCGGCCACAUUGGGACUGAGAUACGGCCCAGACUCCUACGGGAGGCAGCAGUGGGGAAUAUUGCACAAUGGGCGGAAGCCUGAUGCAGCAACGCUGCGGGCGGGAUGACGGCCUUCGGGUUGUAAACCGCUUUCGCCUGUGACGAAGCGUGAGUGACGGUAAUGUGUAAAGAAGCACCGGCUAACUACGUG